rnacentral:rRNA from 1 species
CACGUAGGAGGCGAGCGUUGUCCGGAAUCAUUGGGCGUAAAGAGCGCGCAGGCGGCUUGGCAAGUCGGGUGUGAAAUCCCGGGGCUCAACCCCGUGACUGCAUCCGAUACUGUCAGGCUAGAGGUAGGUAGGGGAGAUCGGAAUUCCUGGUGUAGCGGUGAAAUGCGCAGAUAUCAGGAGGAACACCGGUGGCGAAGGCGGAUCUCUGGGCCUUACCUGACGCUGAGGAGCGAAAGCGUGGGGAGCGAACAGG